UAGUCAUGUGACCUGUUGAAUUAGGGUGU
rnacentral:piRNA from 1 species